rnacentral:rRNA from 1 species
GACAGAGGUGCCGAGCGUUAGGCGGAAUCACUGGGCUUAAAGCGUGUGUAGGCGGGUCCGUAAGUACCUUGUGAAAUCCCACGGCUCAACCGUGGAACUGCUCGGUAUACUGCGGGCCUUGAGCCAGCUAGGGGCAACCGGAACAAACGGUGGAGCGGUGAAAUGCGUAGAUAUGACAUAGAACACCAAUUGCGAAGGCAGCUCGCUACACAUAUAUUGACUCUGAGGCACGAAAGCGUGGGGAUCAAACAGG